rnacentral:rRNA from 4 species
AUACGACCAUACCCACUGGAAAACUCGGGAUCCCGUCCGCUCUCCCAUAGAUAAGCCAGUGAGGGCCGGAUUAGUAGUUGGGUCGGUGACGACCAGCGAAUACCUGGUGUUGUAUG